UUGCCAUUGAGAACCACGCGAAGACGAUUCAGUAACGCCCUGAUUAAUUACCGUUGUGGCAAGGCGCCAUUUGCGUAACAGCAAAAUGUUCGGCAGCAACAACCUUAAUUAUCACAGGGAAAAGAUCUAUCCAUGCAAGCAUUUUACCGUCAGUUCGCUGGCGGUUUUUUUUGCUUUUUGCUGACGGUUUCUGAUAAAAAGCAAAAGGCCCCUCGAUGUGCAUAUCCACGAGGGGCCUGUCUCUGGAAGGGACUAUCUCCGUUCAUUAAUCA
rfam:Escherichia hermannii NBRC 105704 DNA, contig: EH10570405.